UGCUUCAAGACUGGAAGUCUAUCACAGAUUAAGCAAACUUGAGUUGUAAAGGUUGCAUAUAUGAAUGAGUUGAUGCAACUAAUCUGAUAUAUGUUAAUACGUCAAUUUUAAACUUUAGCUUCAGGGAAGAAGUUGCUAAAUUUCUUACUGAAUAUGCAAAUGCUUCAACCGCAUUGGAUCCUGACAAUAUUAUUGUAAUGAAUGGCUGCUGUGCUGUCUUUGCUACUCUUUCAACUGUGUUGUGUGAUCCUGGAGAUGGCUAUCUAAUUCCUGCUCCAUAUUAUGGUGGCAUAAAUUCCAAAACUUGGCUGUAUGGUGGAAUGCAACCUGUUCAUGUGCCCUUAUUCAGUGAGGUAAAAUUUCAUUUUAUUAAAGG